rnacentral:tRNA from 1 species
UAAGUAAUAGUUUAUUGAAAACAUAAAGUUGCAAACUUUAAGAAAUCAGAGUAUUUACUUAU